UAUUUUCAACAUAAAGCAUAUUAUCACUAAGUGAAAGAAAUAUAAGACUAUUAUCAAUAAAAAUACUUUCAUAAUAUUUAUUAAAAAAAUAAAUAGAACAACCAUUAUUCUUUGCAAUUAUUUCAAAAUUUUAUUCCAAUAACAAUGAUAUAAAAAUAAUAUUUCUAACAAUAUCAAGAAUAUAAUAAUAGAUCUUCAGUUUUAAAAUUUUAUCCGAAGACAACUUUAAAAUCUUGGUUCUUAUGGCUUCGAC
rnacentral:lncRNA from 1 species